rnacentral:lncRNA from 1 species
GUCCAAGCAGCCACCUGGCCUGAGACUGGCCUGGCUUUGCCGUUUCCUUUGGCAGCUCCCAAGACCUGAGGGUAGGAGUCCUGGGCAGCUAGGACCUGCCAGGCCAUCCUGUAUCUCCCAUGGGGUUCACGACCCAGGGACCCCUGUUCCUAUCUGAGAGGAUCACUUCUUCCUGAAGCUGGAACCCGAUACUUGUUGGUGCCAACAACUGAAACCAGAUGUGCAGACACACAUGUCCCUGCAGACACACGUGUUCAUGUGGGGCACAUGUGUCCGUUUGGAGGCCAGAAGUCAACCUCAGGUCUCAGGAGGGAGAGCUGCUUAGCCUCAACCUGGUGCAUGGGCACAGGCCACCACGCGGACAAGAAAUGAAGGCGCUGAAGGAAGCUAAGAUGCCCACAUUAUUGCUGUCUGCUGCUGCCUGCUGCUGCCUGCUGCUGCCUGCUGCACUGGUAACCCUCCCCAGCAUCCCUGGAGAGACACCAUCCCAGUGUUCUAUACAACAGGCAAUAAGUAAACACCUGUUGGAGCUAGUGCCAUCGAUAUUGCCCGUGCUCAAUUAAAUAUGUCAUUUGUUUGGGAACUGGGGGGCCUUCUGUGUGGCAGUUUCAACGUUAAUAAACGAAUGAGUAAGUCAGCAAA